CCUACGGGAGGCUGCAGUGAGGAAUAUUGGUCAAUGGACGCGAGUCUGAACCAGCCAAGUAGCGUGAAGGAUGACUGCCCUACGGGUUGUAAACUUCUUUUAUAUGGGAAUAAAAUGUUCCACGUGUGGCAUUUUGUAUGUACCAUAUGAAUAAGGAUCGGCUAACUCCGUGCCAGCAGCCGCGGUAAUACGGAGGAUCCGAGCGUUAUCCGGAUUUAUUGGGUUUAAAGGGCGCGUAGGUGGAUUGUUAAGUCAGUUGUGAAAGUUUGCGGCUCAACCGUAAAAUUGCAGUUGAAACUGGCAGUCUUGAGUACAGUAGAGGUGGGCGGAAUUCGUGGUGUAGCGGUGAAAUGCUUAGAUAUCACGAAGAACUCCGAUUGCGAAGGCAGCUCACUGGACUGCAACUGACACUGAGGCUCGAAAGUGUGGGUAUCAAACAGGAUUAGAUACCCCUGUAGUC
rnacentral:rRNA from 1 species